UUUGCUACGAGGUAUGUCAAUACAUGAAACAUACCCAAAGAUGUGCUUUGUCAAGAAGGCGGGAUCUCUUUGAUUGGUUUAAACGAUUUAAGGAAGAACGCCGGGAAAGUCAGGAAUCGCAUCCCGUGUCCCCUGUUUCUAUUGGAUGCUUUGGGUGGAAAUCCCGCCUUAUAGAUUUUAGAGGACGGGGUGACUGCAAUUGAAUUGCAAUGGCUGUUGGAUAUCUCCAGAGGGCGACCUGUGCUUUCUUUCCUGAGUGAAUUGUGAGGAUAAGUAGCAUAAGUCUGUGGUUAUGAUGGCCUGAACUUAUUAGAUUUUACCACCCGUAAUCACAGCUUCAAAACCCACUGGAUUAAAGCACAACAAUAUCUAUCUUGAAUAUUAUAUCUCACUUUAUCUUUCCACAGAACAUGCACAGGACACACAUUGCCACUGGUCUAAAGGAAGCGGUUACAUUUGUUCAGACAUCAGCUUCAUCCACGUCAGAGCAGUGAGCAAGUGCUUUCCCGAGGAGCUGCUGCUGUUUUUUUAAUGGGCUGAGAGGGAUGUGAAGAGCCCGAGCAGUCAUUCAAAGUAUUAUUACACUCCUGGGCUGCGCACUGCCUGCUUGGCCCCUUGCUGAGGUCGUGGAAGAUGGAUGGCUCGCUGGAGCAGCAAUUAAUAAUGUUUUUACAAGAGCAAUGGAGGCGUGCGCAAGCCACGGACGGAUUGGGCAGAGUAUUGAAAUGUGCAGGUGAAUUGAUUGGCCCUUCGGAUUUCCUGUAGAAAUCAUUUGGAUUAAUUGAAAGCACUGGGAGGGAGGAGGGAAGGUGCAGGGCGUGUAUUGAUUUAUAGGUCUCACUCAGAAGAAAAAGAAGAAAAGAAAAUGGCCACCUUGCUCAUGGAGACGUGAUGAGGUGGUUUCAGGUUGGCUGCCACUCAGCAAUCAUUGGACUAUAGUAUUGUUAGUAUGGACAAGCAAAACUCAUCUAUUGCAAUAUAGAUUCAAUAUAGAUUAAAAAAAAAUACUGCUAGGAAAAAAUUACUGUAAGGAUGGUCCACUCAAAUGCUGCAUAAACAUAAAGUUUGCUCCUUAUUUUCAUAAUCUUUUCAAUUCCCAUCAUUUGCACACACAUUUGCACACUGAGGCCAAUGCUGACCUUCUGAAUGUACCAUCUGAAAACACAAGAGAGCUGUUUUGGACAAUUUUUUUGUUAGUUACUCAAUACUGCCCCCUGUGGUGUCUGUGUUACUAAGAGUCUCAUACUGUAUGUUGGCAAAUGUCAAUGUGUAAUUUAU